GAGACGGAGUUUUGCUCGUUGCCCAGGCUGGAGUGCAAUGGCACAAUUUCGGCUCACUGCAACCUCCACCUCCUGAUUUCAAGCGAUUCUCCUGCCUUGGCCUCCUGAGUAGCUGGGAUUACAGGUGCCCGACAUCACACCCAGCUAAGUUUUUUUUUUUUUUUUCUUUUGAGAUGGAGUCUCGCUCUGUCACCCAGGCUGGAGUGCAGUGGCUAUAUCUCGGCUCACUGCAAGCUCUGCCUCCUGGGUUCACACCAUUCACCUGCCUCAGCCUCCUGAGUAGCUGGGACUACAGGUGCCCGCCACCACGCCCAGCUAAUUUUUUUUUUUUUUUUUUUUUUUUUAGGAGAGAUGGGGUUUCACCAUGUUAGCCAGGAUGGUCUCGAUCUCCUGACCUCGUGAUCCACCCUCCUCGGCCUCCCAAAGUGCUGGGAUUACAGGCAUGAGCUCCACCUCUGUGACAAACUUCUGCCUGAGGCACCCAGCUGUUCAAUACAUGUUUUGAAAUCUAGGUGGAGGGCUGGGAGCGGUGGCUCAUGCCUAUAAUCCCAGCACUUUGGGAGGCCGAGGCGGGUGGAUCACGAGGUCAGAAAAUCGAGACCAUCUUGUCUAACACAGUGAAACCCCGUCUCUACUAAAAAUACAAAAAAUUAGACGGGUGUGGUGGCAGGCACCUGUAGUCCCAGCUACUUGGGAGGCUGAGGCAGGAGAAUGGUGUGAACCUGGGAGGUGGAGCUUGCAGUGUGAGCUGAGAUCGAGCCACUGCACUCCAGCCUGGGCAACAGAGCAAGACUCUAUCUCAAAAAGAAAAAAGAAAGAAAUCUAGGUGGAGCCCACCAUAGCCCCACAGUUCAUAUACUCUGCACAUAUGCUGAGUUAGCACUGUGUGGAUGCCACCAUGGUUUAUAAUCCUGUAUCUCUUCUGGAGUGGUGGCUAGACCCACUUAAGCUGUUGAAGUUGAUUGUAUUCAUCUAUUCUCACACUGCUAACAAAGACAUACCUGAGACUGGGUAAUUUAUAAAGGAAAGAGGUUUAAUGGACUCUGUUCAGCAUGGCUGGAGAGGCCUCACAAUUAUGACCAAAGGCAAAGGAAGACCAAAGGCACAUCUUCCAUGGUGGCAAGCAAGAAAGCAUGUGCAGGGGAACUGCCCUUUUAUAAAACUAACAGAUCUCCUGAGACUUAUUCACUAUCAAUGAGAACAGCAUGGGAAAAACACACUCCCAUGAUUCAAUUACCUCCUACUGGGUCCCUGCCACAACAUGUGGGGAUUAUGGGAGCUAAAAUUAAAGAUGAGAUUUGGGUGGGGACACAGCCAAACCAUAUCACUGGUUUUUCCCCAGGUUCCCCCAUAUAAGUCAGUGAAUGUAGAUGGAUACUUGUGACAAAGGGAACCAUUGUGGUCCAGACACUGAAUACACUGAAGUCCCAGCUGCUGCUCUGCCAGGAUUCCCUGUCCCACCUGCCAGGACCUCCCCUCAACCACCUCCCUGUUCAGGAGAUGCCCAUGUAUUCAAGAGAGAGUGUUCAUAAUUUUCUUUUUCUUUUCUUUUCUUUUUUUUUUUUUUUUUUUUUGAGACAGAGUCUCUUGCUCUGUCGCACAGGCUGGAGUGCAGUGACAUGAUCUCAGCUCACUGCAACCUCUACCUCCCAGGCUCAAGCAAUUCUCCUGACUCAGCCUCCUGAGAAGCUGGGAUUGCAGGUGCACACCACUAUGCCUGACUAAUUUUUUGUAUUUUUAUUAGAGACCAGGUUUUGCCAUGUUGGCCAGGCUGGUCUCGAACUCCUGACCUUGAGUGAUCUGUCCCACUUGGCCUCCCAAAGUGCUGGGAUUACAGGCAUGAGCCACCAUGCCUGGCCAAUUUUCAUAAUUUUCUUUACUUCCCACUGUGGUGGGAGAACUGGCUUCAGAGAAAGCCAUCCUGGACAGGUAAGGUGGCCCCCCAAGGAACAGGUUUCAAUCAAAUGUUUUGUAGGCAGUGAUGCCCGUGCACCCUGGUGAGAAGGAGCAUGGUGUGAACAUCAGGAACCAGACUUCACCCUGGAGGAAAGGCCACAGGUGGGGGCUGAAGGAGCAGUUCUUACAAGCGAUCCUGUGGGCACUGGGGCCACACCACGCACCUUGGUGCACAAGUGUCAGUGUGGCUCAGAGUGGGGUAGAGGACUCAGGGUAUUAAAAGCAUCAAGGAAUCCAGGGAGAGCCACUGCACCCAACUUUACUUUCACCCACAGGCUUUCAUCAUGUUGGCCAGACUGGUCUCCAACUUCUGACCUCAAGUGAUCCACCUGCCUUGGUCUCCUAAAGUGCUGAUUACAGGUGUAAGCCACCAUGCCUGGCCAAGAUUAGGUCCAAUUUUUAAAGUAAUCUGGAGCAUAGAAAAUGUUUCUGCAAUUAUUAAUCUUUUUUUUUUUUUUGAGACAGGGUCUCACUCUGUCACCCAAGCUGGACUGCAGUGUCAUGAUCAUGGCUCACUAUAGCCUCACCCUCUUGGGCUUACGCGAUCUUCCUGCCUCAGCCUUCCAAGAGCUGGGACUACAUGCAUGCACCAUCGUGCCCAGCUAAUUUUUUAGUUCUUAUACAGACAGGGGUCUCACUAUGUUGCCCAGACUGGUUUUGAACUCUUGGGCUCAAGAGAUCCUCCCACCUUGGCUUCCUCAAAUGCUGGGAUUACAGGCAUGAGCCACCACACCUGGCCUCACAUAUUUUGAUAUAUAAAACACCAAAGAUCUUUUUAAGGAGCUAAAGAAACCAGUACUUUUUAAAGAAAAAAGUAGUGGGAAUGUCUAGUACAACCAAAACCAGGCAUCAAAGUCAGCAGUUAAACAUUCCAGGCUGGGCACAGUGGCUCAUGCCUGUAAUCUCAACACUUUGGGAGGCCCAUGCAGGAGGACUGCUUGAGCCCUGGGGGGCAGAGGUUGCAGUGAGCCACGAUAAUACCACAGUAUUCCAGCCUGGAAGACACAGUGAAACCCUGUCUCAAAAACAGAUAAACAAACAAAUCAAUCAAUCAAUCCAGAACCAGUGCUCACUUCGGCAGCACAUAUACAAAAAUUGGCAUGACAUGGAGAAGAUAAGCAUAGUCCCUGUGAAAGGAUGACAAACAAAUUCAUGAAGCAUUCCAUAUUUUAAAAAAUAUUUCAGAACCAAGAAAAUAAAUGAAUCAAAAGAAAGGGAAGACCUUGGUGAUUCCUUUGAUAUCAGAAAAAAUCGGCCGGGCACAGUGGCUCAUGCCUGUAAUCCCAGCACUUUGGGAGACCAAGGUGGGCAGAUCAUUUGAGGUCAGGAGUUGGAGACCAGCCUGACCAACAUGGUGAAACUCUGUAUCUACUAAAAGUCCAAAAAUUAGGCCAGGUGCCGUGGCUCAUGCCUGUAAUCCUAGCACUUUGGGAGGCCAAGGCGGGCGGAUCACUUGAGAUCAGGAGUUUGAGACCAGCCUGGCCAACAUGGUGAAACCUUGUCUUUAAUAAAAAUACAAAAAUUAGCCGGGUGUGGUGGUGGGCACUUGUAAUCCCAGCUACUCAGGAGUCAGAGGCAGGGAGAAUCACUUGAACCCAGGAGGUAGAGGUUGCAGUGAGCUGAGAUCGCACCAUUGCACUCCAGCUGGGGUGACAGGGCAAGACUCCAUCUCAAAAAAUAAAUAAAUAAAUAAAUAAAUAAACUACAAAAAUUAGCUGGGCAUGGUGGCACAUGCCUGUAAUCCCAGUUACAUGGGAGGCUGAAGCAGGAGAAUCUCUUGAACCCGGGAGGCGGAGGUUGCAGUGAGCUGAGAUCACACCACUGCACUCCAGCCUGUGUGACAGAGCAAGACUCUGUCUAAAAAAUUAAAUAAAUAAAUAAAAUAAAAUAAAAUAAAGUUCUCAUCUGCAAUUCUGAAUUUGGCAAGAAGAGUGAACUGUGGCCCAGUGACCGGCACACAGCAUUUUAGAGUUCAUGGUGUAAUCCUUGGGAAACUCUUUUCGCCAAAGUUGUGGCAUCUUCUCUGGCCACUCACUUUAUUCAAAAGACCUGGCUCAAAAUGACUAUUUAUGGAAAUCAACUCUAGCCUCAAAAGACAAAACCACUGUAGUUCUAAAGAUAUUCAAAAGAAUUAAGGUUAUUAAAAAGCAAUGAAGGGCCAGGCACAAUGUCUCAUGCCUGUAAUCCCAGCACUUUGGGAGGCUGCAGCAGAAGGAUCACUUGAGGCCAGGAGUUUGAGACCAGCCUGGGCAACAUAGUGAGACCCUGUCUCAACAAAAUAAUUUUAAAAAUUAGCUGGUUGGCCGGGUGUGGUGGCUCACGCCUGUAAUCCCAGCACUUUGGGAGGCCGAGGCG
rnacentral:lncRNA from 10 species